UCGAGCGAACAGACGAGGAGCUUGCUCCUCUGACGUUAGCGGCGGACGGGUGAGUAACACGUGGAUAACCUACCUAUAAGACUGGGAUAACUUCGGGAAACCGGAGCUAAUACCGGAUAACAUGUUGAACCGCAUGGUUCAACAGUGAAAGACGGUCUUGCUGUCACUUAUACAUGGAUCCGCGCCGCAUUAGCUAGUUGGUAAGGUAACGGCUUACCAAGGCAACGAUGCGUAGCCGACCUGACAGGGUGAUCGGCCACACUGGAACUGAGACACGGUCCAGACUCCUACGGGAGGCAGCAGUAGGGAAUCUUCCGCAAUGGGCGAAAGCCUGACGGAGCAACGCCGCGUGAGUGAAGAAGGUCUUCGGAUCGUAAAACUCUGUUAUUAGGGAAGAACAAAUGUGUAAGUAACUAUGCACGUCUUGACGGUACCUAAUCAGAAAGCCACGGCUAACUACGUGCCAGCAGCCGCGGUAAUACGUAGGUGGCAAGCGUUAUCCGGAAUUAUUGGGCGUAAAGCGCGCGUAGGCGGUUUUUUAAGUCUGAUGUGAAAGCCCACGGCUCAACCGUGGAGGGUCAUUG
rnacentral:rRNA from 1 species